GACGAACGCUGGCGGCGUGCUUAACACAUGCAAGUCGAACGAGGAGCGAUGGAAGCUUGCUUCUAUCAAUCUUAGUGGCGAACGGGUGAGUAACGCGUAAUCAACCUGCCCUUCAGAGGGGGACAACAGUUGGAAACGACUGCUAAUACCGCAUACGAUCUGACCUCGGCAUCGAGGAUAGAUGAAAGGUGGCCUCUACAUGUAAGCUAUCACUGAAGGAGGGGAUUGCGUCUGAUUAGCUAGUUGGAGGGGUAACGGCCCACCAAGGCGAUGAUCAGUAGCCGGUCUGAGAGGAUGAACGGCCACAUUGGGACUGAGACACGGCCCAGACUCCUACGGGAGGCAGCAGUGGGGAAUCUUCCGCAAUGGACGAAAGUCUGACGGAGCAACGCCGCGUGAGUGAUGACGGCCUUCGGGUUGUAAAGCUCUGUUAAUCGGGACGAAAGGCCUUUUUGCGAAUAGGGAGAAGGAUUGACGGUACCGGAAUAGAAAGCCACGGCUAACUACGUG
rnacentral:rRNA from 1 species